rnacentral:rRNA from 1 species
UGAGGAAUAUUGGUCAAUGGACGGAAGUCUGAACCAGCCAUGCCGCGUGAAGGAUGAAGGCGUUCUGCGUUGUAAACUUCUUUUAUCUGGGAAGAAACCACAGAUUUCUAUUUGUGUUGACGGUACCAGAGGAAUAAGCACCGGCUAACUCCGUGCCAGCAGCCGCGGUAAUACGGAGGGUGCGAGCGUUAUCCGGAUUUACUGGGUUUAAAGGGUGCGUAGGUGGGUAUGUAAGUCAGUGGUGAAAUCCCCGAGCUUAACUUGGGAACUGCCAUUGAUACUAUAUAUCUUGAAUACCGUAGAGGUAAGCGGAAUAUGGCAUGUAGCGGUGAAAUGCUUAGAUAUGACAUGGAACACCAAUUGCGAAGGCAGCUUACUAUGCGGUGAUUGACACUGAGGCACGAAAGCGUGGGUAGCAAACA